GUUGAACGCUGGCGGCACGCCUAACACAUGCAAGUCGAGCGGUAACAUGAUUAGUAGCAAUACUAAUUGAUGACGAGCGGCGGACGGGUGAGUAACACGUAGGAACCUAACCGAGAGAGGGGGACAACCAAGGGAAACUUUGGCUAAUACCGCGUGAUCUCGAAAGAGUAAAGUUGCCGGAAACGGUGACGCUUUUGGAAGGGCCUGCGUCCGAUUAGCUAGUUGGUGAGGUAAAGGCUUACCAAGGCGAUGAUCGGUAACUGGUCUGAGAGGACGACCAGUCACACUGGGACUGAGACACGGCCCAGACUCCUACGGGAGGCAGCAGUGGGGAAUAUUGGACAAUGGGGGCAACCCUGAUCCAGCGAUGCCGCGUGAGUGAAGAAGGCCUUCGGGUCGUAAAGCUCUUUAGGUUGGGAAGAAGUGUAGUGGAGGAUAAUGCUGCUACAUUGACGGUACCGACAGAAUAAGCACCGGCAAACUCUGUGCCAGCAGCCGCAGUAA
rnacentral:rRNA from 1 species